rnacentral:antisense_RNA from 1 species
GGUAGCUAAAAAUAGUUGCAAAGUUCCAAGUCGGAUGAGAAAUAACUCGCACUUCUCCUAAUGUGGGGUCGUAUAAGCCUCCAAAAAAGACGGCUUUGGCAACGAGUAAGCCUGCUCCUAAACCUAGCAAAACUAAAUGUAUGCCCAGGAUAGUCGUCAUUUUAUUAGCAUCUUGCCA